GGCAGAGUGCCCGAGUGGUUAAGGGGAUUGACUUGAAUGUGGUGCCCCACAUGUUAUCAAUUACGUUCGCGUGCGCAGGUUCGAACCCUGUCUCUGUCG
rnacentral:tRNA from 1 species